rnacentral:miRNA from 1 species
GACAUCGAAUCAGACAGUUUA